UACGUAGGGGGCUAGCGUUGUCCGGAUUUAUUGGGCGUAAAGAGCGUGUAGGCGGCCAGAUAGGUCAGCUGUGAAAACUCGAGGCUCAACCUCGAGAUGUCGGCUGAAACCAUCUGGCUAGAGUCCGGAAGAGGAGAAUGGAAUUCCCGGUGUAGCGGUGAAAUGCGCAGAUAUCGGGAAGAACACCCGUGGCGAAGGCGGUUCUCUGGGACGGUACUGACGCUGAGACGCGAAAGCGUGGGGAGCGAACAGG
rnacentral:rRNA from 1 species